UUGGGCCACUAAUGGGCGUCUCCUCUGCCUGUCGAGAAGAUUUUCCCGGAUCAGGCUGAGUGGACUACCGUCUCCUUGCGAUCUGCGGGAGCCCUCCCUUCCUUAUCACCCCGUCAGGGUGACAUUUGGCCCCGAGAAGCCUCCAGGCAAGCAGAAAUCAGCUGAGUUUUGCAGAGCUCCACAAGUUUCAGCUGCCACGCUCCGCCGACAAACCGGGGAAAUGAUAGAUUUUUUAAUUCCAGGAGUAUUAUCUAUUCAGUUAGGUUUAACUCAAAAAGAAAUCUGUUCAGACAAUUGCCCCUCUCAUUGCUGCAGAACCUCACAACCUCAGCUCGGUCCCAAACUGCUUUAUUUAGGCAGAAUCAACAUUUGAAGUGAACCUGGGAUCAGCCUCCAGGCUUUGGGAAGAGCUGCAAGCAAAGCAAGGGAAAAUGUAUGUGUGUAUAUUCGUUUUAGCUCUAAUUGCGUGGAAAAUACUGAUCUUCUUUAAACAUGUAGCAAGGUAUUUAAGGCAUUUUUUUUGACCCGGGGAGGCCCACGAUCUCCGCCUGGCUUCUCCCGGAUGCCGAUUGCACUGCCCGCUCUCCGGGGCAGGUGCAGCUCCGGGCAGAGGCUGCCCUGCAAAGCCUCCAACGCUGUCUCCGCGGCUGCGAUUUCACCUGCAGGGGGCGCUCUCUUUGCAGUCGGCUGACUAGGCCAGUGCGCAUGUUCCACUCUGCCUGAGAGUUUCGGCUGAGAGUUGCUCCCUGGGAAUCAGGUGGGGGCCAGCAAGAGGGGAUUCCGCGACUCAGAUCCUCCCCAGGAGAGGGAAGGAGAAAUCCAGAUUCCUGGAAGACUGGAAGGAUCUUAGGAGAGCCAGCGGAGACCAGUUGCCCGGCGGUGGUGCCAAUGGCUGGAAGAUCCCUUCUGAGCCUGGCAGAGAA